UCGAGGGGUAUGGCAGCAAUGCCAGAGACCGGCGCACGGGUGCGUAACGCGUAUGCAACCUACCUUUCACAGGGGGAUAGCCCAGAGAAAUUUGGAUUAAUACCCCAUGGUAUAUUGAGAUGGCAUCAUCUUAUUAUUAAAGUCACAACGGUGAAAGAUGGGCAUGCGUCCUAUUAGCUAGUUGGUGUGGUAACGGCAUACCAAGGCUACGAUAGGUAGGGGUCCUGAGAGGGAGAUCCCCCACACUGGUACUGAGACACGGACCAGACUCCUACGGGAGGCAGCAGUGAGGAAUAUUGGUCAAUGGGCGCAAGCCUGAACCAGCCAUGCCGCGUGCAGGAUGAAGCAUCUAUGGUGUGUAAACUGCUUUUGUACGGGAAGAAACCCCUCCACGUGUGGAGGAUUGACGGUACCGUAAGAAUAAGGAUCGGCUAACCCCGUGCCAGCAGCCGCGGUAAUACGGAGGAUCCAAGCGUUAUCCGGAAUCAUUGGGUUUAAAGGGUCCGUAGGCGGGCUAAUAAGUCAGUGGUGAAAUCUCCCCGCUCAACGGGGAAACGGCCAUUGAUACUGUUAGCCUUGAAUUAUUAGGAAGUAACUAGAAUAUGUAGUGUAGCGGUGAAAUGCUUAGAUAUUACAUGGAAUACCAAUUGCGAAGGCAGGUUACUACUAAUUGAUUGACGCUGAUGGACGA
rnacentral:rRNA from 1 species